GUGGGGAAUUUUGGACAAUGGGCGCAAGCCUGAUCCAGCAAUGCCGCGUGCAGGAAGAAGGCCUUCGGGUUGUAAACUGCUUUUGUACGGAACGAAACGGUCCGGGUUAAUACCCUGGGCUAAUGACGGUACCGUAAGAAUAAGCACCGGCUAACUACGUGCCAGCAGCCGCGGUAAUACGUAGGGUGCAAGCGUUAAUCGGAAUUACUGGGCGUAAAGCGUGCGCAGGCGGUUUUGUAAGACAGGCGUGAAAUCCCCGGGCUCAACCUGGGAAUUGCGCUUGUGACUGCAAGGCUGGAGUGCGGCAGAGGGGGAUGGAAUUCCGCGUGUAGCAGUGAAAUGCGUAGAUAUGCGGAGGAACACCAGUGGCGAAGGCAAUCCCCUGGGCCUGCACUGACGCUCAUGCACGAAAGCGUGGGGAGCAAACAGGAUUAGAAACCCGAGUAGUCC
rnacentral:rRNA from 1 species